GUGGGGAAUAUUGGACAAUGGGCGAAAGCCUGAUCCAGCCAUGCCGCGUGUGUGAAGAAGGUCUUCGGAUUGUAAAGCACUUUAAGUUGGGAGGAAGGGCAGUAAGUUAAUACCUUGCUGUUUUGACGUUACCAACAGAAUAAGCACCGGCUAACUUCGUGCCAGCAGCCGCGGUAAUACGAAGGGUGCAAGCGUUAAUCGGAAUUACUGGGCGUAAAGCGCGCGUAGGUGGUUCAGCAAGUUGGAGGUGAAAUCCCCGGGCUCAACCUGGGAACUGCCUCAAAAACUACUGAGCUAGAGUACGGUAGAGGGUAGUGGAAUUUCCUGUGUAGCGGUGAAAUGCGUAGAUAUAGGAAGGAACACCAGUGGCGAAGGCGACUACCUGGACUGAUACUGACACUGAGGUGCGAAAGCGUGGGGAGCAAACAGGAUUAGAUACCCCGGUAGUCC
rnacentral:rRNA from 1 species